rnacentral:rRNA from 1 species
AUUGAACGCUGGCGGCAGGCCUAACACAUGCAAGUCGAACGCGUGGCGGACGGGUGAGUAAUGUCUGGGAACCUAGCUUAUGUAGGGAGAUAACUACGGUAACCUGUAGCUACUACCGCGUACCAUACUAUGAGCCCAAGUGGGAUUAGGUAGUUGGUGAGGUAAAGGCUCACCAAGCCGACGCUCCCUAGCUGGUCUGAGAGGAUGACCAGCCACACUGGGACUGAGAAACGGCCCAGACUCCUACGGGAGGCAGCAGUGGGGAAUAUUGCGCAAUGGGCGAAAGCCUGAUGCAGCCAUGCCGCGUGAAUGAAGAAGGCCUUCGGGUUGUAAAGUACUUUCGGUAGCGAGGCGUUAACUACAGAAGAAGCACCGGCUAACUCCGUGCCAGCAGCCGCGGUAAUUC